UACGUAGGGUGCGAGCGUUGUCCGGAAUUAUUGGGCGUAAAGAGCUCGUAGGCGGUUCGGUAAGUCGGGUGUGAAAACUCUGGGCUCAACCCAGAGAGGCCACCCGAUACUGCUGUGACUAGAGUGCGGUAGGGGAGCGGGGAAUUCCUGGUGUAGCGGUGAAAUGCGCAGAUAUCAGGAGGAACACCAGCGGCGAAGGCGCCGCUCUGGGCCGUAACUGACGCUGAGGAGCGAAAGCGUGGGGAGCGAACAGG
rnacentral:rRNA from 1 species